AUUGAACGCUGGCGGCAGGCCUAACACAUGCAAGUCGAAGUGGCGGACGGGUGAGUAACACGUGGGAACGUGCCUUUAGCUUCGGAAUACCCCAGGGAAACUUGUUCUAAUACCGAAUGCCUUUAGAGCGGCCCGCGGUGGAUUAGCUAGUUGGUGAGGUAAAGGCUCACCAAGGCGACGAUCAGUAGCUGGUCUGAGAGGAUGAUCAGCCACAUUGGGACUGAGACACGGCCCAAACUCCUACGGGAGGCAGCAGUGGGGAAUCUUGCGCAAUGGGCGAAAGCCUGACGCAGCCAUGCCGCGUGUAUGAAGAAGGCCUUCGGGUUGUAAAGUACUUUCAGCGGGGAGGCGUUACCCGCAGAAGAAGCACCGGCUAACUCCGUGCCAGCAGCCGCGGUAAUAC
rnacentral:rRNA from 1 species